rnacentral:rRNA from 1 species
GACGAACGCUGGCGGCGUGCUUAACACAUGCAAGUCGAGCGGAAAGGCCACUUCGGUGGUACUCGAGCGGCGAACGGGUGAGUAACACGUGAGUAAUCUGCCCUUCACUCUGGGAUAGCCACCGGAAACGGUGAUUAAUACCGGAUACGACCACUCCACGCAUGUGGUGGUGGUGGAAACUUUUUUGGGUGGGGGAUGUGCUCGCGGCCUAUCAGCUUGUUGGUGGGGUAAUGGCCUACCAAGGCUUCGACGGGUAGCCGGCCUGAGAGGGUGACCGGCCACACUGGGACUGAGACACGGCCCAGACUCCUACGGGAGGCAGCAGUGGGGAAUAUUGGACAAUGGGCGGAAGCCUGAUCCAGCAACGCCGCGUGAGGGAUGACGGCCUUCGGGUUGUAAACCUCUUUCAGCACCGACGAAGCGCAAGUGACGGUAGGUGCAGAAGAAGGACCGGCCAACUACGUGCCAGCCGCCGCAGUAACAC